UACGGAGGGUGCAAGCGUUGUCCGGAUUUAUUGGGUUUAAAGGGUGCGUAGGCGGCUUUUUAAGUCAGUGGUGAAAUACAACAGCUCAACUGUUGAGGUGCCAUUGAUACUGAAGAGCUUGAGUACAGAUGAGGUAGGCGGAAUUUAUGGUGUAGCGGUGAAAUGCAUAGAUACCAUAAAGAACACCGAUUGCGAAGGCAGCUUACUAAGCUGUAACUGACGCUGAGGCACGAAAGCGUGGGGAGCGAACAGG
rnacentral:rRNA from 1 species